CCCUUAGAUGUCCUGGGCCGCACGCGCGUUACACUGAUGCAUUCAACGAGCUUAUAACCUUGGCCGAGAGGCCCGGGCAAUCUUGUUAACGUGCAUCGUGAUAGGGAUAGAUUAUUGAAAUUAUUAAUCUUGGACGAGGAAUUCCUAGUAAACGCAGAUCAUCAAUCUGCAUUGAUUACGUCCCUGCCCUUUGUACACACCGCCCGUCGCACCUACCGAUUGGAUGGUCCGGUGAAGCCUCGGGAUUGUGGUUCUUGCCGCUUUAUUGUGGCGUGACCGCGAGAACUUGUCUAAACCUUAUCAUCUAGAGGAAGGUGAAGUCGUAACA
rnacentral:rRNA from 1 species